AACGGGCGCCGCGUGACCGGAAGUGACGGUGCCGCUCCGGCGUAGCAACCGUUACCAAGGGCCCGGUAACUAAGUGAAGCGGGCGUCGAGUGGGGGCGGCCUGUGGCGGGGGCUCAGAUUCGUUCCCCAGGACUCGGCCAUGAGCGAUCAACUCAAAUUCAUCGUUGAGAAGCUCAAUCAGGAGCCUUUUAAGAAGAACUAUAAUUUAAUCACGUUUGAUUCGUUGGAGUCGAUGCAGCUCUUGCAGCUGCUCAAUGACGUCUUGGGGGAAAUUGACCCGAAGCAUGUUGUUGACAUUAGAGAGGAGAUGCCAGAUCAAACGACUAAACGAAUGUUGAGUCUUUUAGGUAUUCUUAAAUACAAGCCUCCAGGAAGUAUUAUAGACUUGAGUACAUUCCGCCAGGGUUUAGUUACUGGAAGCAAGCCUGUAAUUCAUCCAGUCUUACACUGGCUUCUUCAGAGGACCAACGAACUCAAGAAAAGAGCCUACCUGGCACGUUUCUUAAUAAAAUUGGAAGUGCCCAUUGAGUUCCUUCAGGAUGAUACUGUGGCUGACACCAACAAACAGUAUGAAGAACUGAUGGAAGCAUUUAAAAACCUACAUAAGGAAUGUGAGCAGCUGAAGGCAUCUGGUUUUUCCACAGCAGAAAUAAGAAGGGAUAUCACUGCAAUGGAAGAGGAGAAGGAUCAGCUCAUCAAGAGAGUGGAGCGUCUUAAGAAGAGGGUGGAGACAGUGCAAAACCAUCAACGAAUGCUUGAAAUAGCAAGACAGCUUCGCUUAGAGAAAGAGAGAGAAGAAUCUCUGGUCCAACAGAAACAAGAACAAAAGAAUCAGCUGUUCCAUGCAGAGCAGAGGCUGCAAAGAGUGCAGCUCCAGCUGAAAGCUAUGCAUCAUGCAGUAGCGGAUUCAAAGCCUGAGAGCUUAGUGAAGAAGCUGGAAGCAGAGAUAAAGCUUAAUUCAUUCUUGGUCAAUGAAGAAAUUCCUAGAGAUCUGGAAACUAAGAAGCAAUCAUUAUAUUUCCUACAAAAAGUGGUUGCAGAGCCAGCUAUGAGCCAAUCUGAUCUCAAUGAACUUGAAACCAAGAUAGAUGAAGUCAACGCACAAAUUAAUCAGCUGAUUGAAAAGAGAAUGAUUAAAUAUGAGCCAAUUGAUAGCAGGUUUUCAAUGUAUCGACAACAGGCAUCCAUAAUUUCCCGGAAGAAAGAAGCCAAAGCAGAAGAGCUCCAAGCUGCCAAGGAAGAGAUGUCGAACAUUGAGAGGCAAAUGUUACAAAAGGCAAAUGAGGCCCGUGAGUUGGAAGGCACUGAAAUUUUGAAAGGUGAUGAGUUUAAACGCUAUGUUAGUAAGCUUCGAAGCAAGAACACACUUUACAAAAAGAAGCGUCAAGAAAUAGCAGAAAUUACAGCGGAGUACGGCAUUCUGCAGAGAACAGAAGAACUCCUUAAACAGCGCCAUGAUGCUAUUCAGCAGCAGUUGCAAGCAAUUGAAGACAAGAAGGGGAUCUCUGGGUACAGUUAUACUCAAGAGGAGUUGGAAAGAGUAUCUGCAGUAAAAAGCGAGAUGGAUGAAAUGAAGGGGCGAACAUUAGAUAACAUGUCUGAAAUGGUAAAAAAAUUGAAUGCAACGGUAGCAGAAAAGAAGUCAAGCCUGGCUCCAGUUGUCAAAGAAUUGAGACAGUUGCGGCAGAAGUGCCAGGAAUUAACUCAAGAAUGUGAUGAAAAAAAGGUCCAAUAUGACAGCUGUGCAGCAGGUUUAGAAAGCAACCGCUCCACACUGGAACAAGAAGUCAGAGGGCUUCGUCAAGAGUCUAUUCAGGAAGAAAGUGGCUAUCAUUUUAUUAACUGCGCCAAACAGAACCUAGAAGUGCAGCUUCAGCGUGCGAAAGAUGAAAUGAAGAUGUACAUCUCCCCAGAUCCCCAGGAAAGAAGAAAAGCAAUUAGAGAACAAUACACCCGAAUGAUCCUUGAACAAGAGAACCUCGGGAAGAAAUUACGAGAGAAACAAAAAGCUGUGCGUGAGAGUCACGGUCCAAAUAUGAAGCAAGUUAAAAUGUGGCGGGAUGUGGAGCAGCUCAUGGAGUGUAAGAGAGAAUGUUUUCUAAAGCAACAAAAUCAAACUUCUAUUGGUCAAGUCAUUCAGGAAGGAGGAGAGGAUAGGCUGGUAUUAUGAAAUCAUUUAAAAUCUGGGCAUCUUAAGUAGUUUUGCUGUUGAUUGUUGGGUUUUUAUACAGUUUCUCUAUAAAUGAAUUGUAAAUAUUUUGUUUUCAGUGGGUAAUCUAAGAGUGAAGUCAACCAGCAUGCAAACAGCAUUAUUUAACAGCCAAGGUAAUAGCUUACAUCAGUGAGGGACAGUCUUUUUGGUAGGUUUGCCAUGAAUUGGCCCCAGAUCCUUCUCAAGUGCCACUCUGAUCCCCUUCCCCUGCCCCAUCUGCUGCUCUGCUUUCUGCUCCUUCCUCUGUGCUCCCUGCCCCAUCUGCUGCUCUGCCUUUUGCUCUGUACUGUGUGCUCCCAACCCCCUCUACCACUGUGUUGCCUUUUGUGACACGGAUCUGCCACGUGCCACAAUGAGCUGCCUGUGCCGCUUGUGUCACCCAUGCCGCAUGUUGGUCACCCCUAACUUACAUGGUAUGGAGAGUGUUGAGUGAGCCUUUUGCAGUGCAGUGAAUGCUGUUGUAAAGCCUUAUUUCUCCCAUUAGGCAGGGGGCUGGGUAUCUCCACAGAAAGACCAAGAGAAAAAGGAAUCUCUUUCCAAGGCCAUGCAGAUCUGUGGAGCUACUUUGCACCUGCUCUUGUGGCCCUAACACUACAGAUUUGGCACUUGCUGGGUGCAUGCAUGAUACAUAACUGUAUAACUGUGGGCCUUCUGACUCCUGGGUGGGUGCUUUUCUUCCUCACUCUGUCCCUGUUCAUGCAGUGGGUGCUGGCAUGCAUGGAACCAGAGCAGAUCUGAGCUCCAUGCCAUGCAAGAGCUCUACAAACCCUGUAUGCUUCACCUCAGCUCAGCUCUCUCCUUACUCAGAUGACUUCAACUGACAUUCCUCCCAGAAGUCUUUCCAUUGUUACAGGGGCAGGAAUGGGAUUUGAGAACAAUUACUGAUAUUCCGAUCCUCCCAGUAUAGGGACAUUCACUGAUGUAGGUACAUAGGGCUUGUUAAUAGUCAGGUUCAGCCACAGGGUUAACUCAUGAAGAGCUGAGUUUUUAUGCUUUCCUAAGUUACUUGUGGCCUGUAGAGAAGUGCUUCGAAAUUUUGCUUCCUACUUGAACUAGAAUUGACCUGAUCUUUAAUAGUUGUUGCAGUUUACCUCAGAUGUAACAGCUAUUUCAGCCUUCUCUGAUAUUUAAAUGCAUUUGAUGCUUUCUGUAUGAGUCCCUUCUAUAGCCUGCAUUUGCAUUGGCCAGCUUUGCUGACAAAACUAAGAAGAAAAGUAAAAUCCAAAGCUUAGGCAAUGGGUUUAGUUUUUUUAAAAGGUUCUUUAGAGGAUCAAAGUGAUAGAACAGCCCUAAUGAAAGGCAAGCAGGUGGCUGGGCCUUAGAUGAACAAGGCCUUUGAAUGCUCAAACUCUUUUCGCAAAGGUCCUGCCUGGUUUUCCCCUUGACAUUAAAGCUGUAAAUGACAAUGAGAGAAGAGAGUACCUAACCUUCAAAUCUCACAAGCCCCAAGACCUGCCAGGAGGCUGUUCACAGACCUCAUAUGCAGGCCUGACCCUGAGUCUACCUUUUCCUCUGUUUGCAGGGCUGCUCGAGGGGUUCUUUCUCCAUAGCCGAAGCUGAUCUUCUCUCUAAGAGCAGAUAGAAGCAGCAAGAGGGAAAACAGCAAAUUUCUGUUAAUUUUUACUGAGUUUGGAGGGAAGCCUAUUAAGCAGGGAAUGGGCAUCAGGUAGAUUUACAUGAGGUGGGAAGAGCAUGUCAUAUUGCCACCACUUUGUUCUUCCCCAGUUGCAAUGUCCUCUCUGGCAGCAGCAGGACAGCCUCUAGUUUCAGGCACUAGCUUGGGACUGUAUCAGGCAAGGGGAAAACUCAGCAAAAUGGCAGCAGCAGGUUGUGUGCUAUGGGGAAAGCCAGCCACAGGGACUCCAUAGUUCUCCUCUUGCUAGCCCAGUCUGUAGUAGUAUUUAUUUACUUUACUUGCUGUAGUGCCAGAGGAGCUGAAGAACAUUAUAGGAGACCUUGGCCUUUUGAGGGAGGCUUGCUGAAUGCUUGUCAACAGCAAUGCAAAGGCACAACCAUCUAGACAAGAGUUAUAAUAAGGGGGAGCUUGGGAUGUUCUCCAGAAAAGGAGCUGUUGGGUUCCUUAGGACUUACCGGCAGAGCUGAGGGACAGCACAUGCUCUGCAGCCUCAGAAGGUCACCAAAUUUCCCUGACUUAGGGUCACUGUAUUAUUCAUCAAGCCAUUCGUGCAUUGAUCUGUUACCUGGCUUUUGAAAUCUUGUAGUGAUACUGAGUCAGGCUGCAGGUAAUCAGUUUUUCUCUUUGGUGUUACCCUAAAAAGAGUCAGUCUCUCCCCCUCUCUUUAAAAACAAGUUACUGGUAAUUACUCAAAGAUGAUAUGAUGGUUGCACUGAUCUGAUUAGUGCUCCAUUAUUCUUCCCGUACCAAGAAAGGGCACGCGGAUUACAUGCUACGUCAGCAUCCACACAGCUUUCUUAGAUUAAGCAAAAAAGCGUAAUUACAAUAAGAAAAAAAUUGGACAAACUAAAAAGCUACCACAUGGUUAUUUUUAGCUUUUACAUAAGUGGACAUUUAAUACUGCAACUGUAAUGCAUUCCCUUCCGUGGCUUUUCCACCCAGUUGGUGAUUUGACAGAAACAUGCACAACUCUGACUGAUCCUGACAGUUAGCCCCUUCAUCUUGUAAUUUACAAAGAGAGAUCAUUUUUUGCUCUAAUAGCACUAACGGUCUAGCUAGUCAACUAACGAGAUUGCAUGUGCACUUUGGAAAAUCACCUGCCCCUUACUUGUGAACGUCCAAAUAAAGCAGAAAAUGUAGUCACCAAUUUCUGUGCUCCUGCACUUUAAAAAUGUCUUUCUAUUAAGAUAAUCAGGAUUGAUAGUAGAGAGGAUAUAUUUUAUUAGACCAACUAUUUAUUACUGUUGGUCUAAUAAAAGAUAUCAUCUCUGCUACGAGUCCUGAUUGCCUUCUCCUCUAGACCGAUACAGCUACAACCUGGAUACCUUCCUAUUAAGAUGCUAUUCUUGCUAAUAGCUACUCUACAUGCUUUGAGUAGCUACAUACAAGACAAACUACAUACUUUGUUUCAAAAAGCUAAAGCUUUUCCUACCUAGAAUUAGAUCAGAAAAUAAUCUGCCAUAGGGCUAUAACAGUAUUCCAUAGCAUUACAUGGUUUUGUCAUAAAAAUUUAACAUUGAUGUAAGAGACACCCACUUUGAGAGUUGCAGGCAGUUCCCAAAUGGGUUGAGCAGAUAAGUAGCUAGGAAUAUGGAAAUCAGAAAUGGGGAUAAGAGAAAAAACAUAUAUAUGGCUUUCCACACAGCCAAUCAGCCUAUACAUUUUUUCGUUUGGAUAACACAGCCGCCUUGUGUUGGUUUAUAUUAGCAGCUGCCAUUUUGUUUCUCUUUGAACUUCAGCAGAAAAGAAAUGCCCCCCAAAAGACCCAAAUCUGCAAACACUGCAGAUAGAUAUCCUUACUCAUGUGGCAUGUUUGUAAAGUUGCUCGCAAGCUUUGUGGGGUUAUCUGUAUUAAAAUAUACUUUUUUCUAAAAAAGAAAUGUAUUUGGUCUAUUCAGUGUCUUGCAAAAGUGUAGCUAUCAGCAGGACAGUGAGAAGGAUGUCUCUGAGAGCUCUGCAAACAUCACUAUUGUAAGGUAUGUUGGUAGGGUAGGGCAGCACCUUAAAGACUAACUCAUUCAGAAAUACAUAAGGUUUUGUGGGCUACAGCCUACUUCAUAUAUUGCAGUAGAAACAUUUACUUGGCAGCUCUACAACUAAAGAAAAUGUCCUCAGACUGAGAUUGCGUGGAUGAAUUGGAAUGGGUAGGAUUGUACUCACUACACAAUAUCUAAUUGUUCUCAAAUGGCUCAGGGGUUGGAAAUGGGAUCCAGAGCCUUUCACCUCUCGAGCCUUGUUUGUGUGUCUGGCCCAGAUCAGCAGUGGCUGAAAGUUGGCUACUACCUGGUGGAUGUCCUCGACUCAGUGAGCUGUGCAUGAUGAGUUGGCAGUGUCCAUCCAGCUCCUAAAUCACCAUCCUACCUGGCAGGCUCGGGGUUGAAAGGGCUAUGGAGAAUGGAAUAAAUAGUCUGUCACCAUAGAGGUGUUGCUUCCAGAAUAAAGUUGCAGCCCACUAAAACAGCAGUGUGGGAAUCGUGCCCUCCCGUAUUGACAGCCUUGAGGCUUGUAAAUCUGGCACCUUUCUUCAGCACUGCAUUUACUCAGAUUUAAAUAAAAACCUUAAGAACUUGUUCCGUGCGUGGCCUGUGGUGUUCUUCGCAGUUGUUGGUGUUCUGCUGAAGAAACCCUUUGAAUCCUUUAGUUCCUGUCUCUAGCACAGCUGCGAGGAGGUACUGCAUGGAUUGGCAUUGGCGGUGCCAUUUCCCUGGGCGCCUGGGCAACGCUGAAUAUGUGAUUGCUUUUUAGGUUGUUAUAAUCUUGAAGAAAGGGCGUCUAGACUCUUAGCGUUGAUCUCUACACACCCACUUUUCCUGCGUGUGUACUCCCUAGAUUGUUGGUUCUGUGGUAGCAGUUUCCAGACUCUGAAACAAUCCUAAUCUUAUCUUAUUUUAGUGGGUGGGAAGGGCAUUUUUCAUAGUUAUGUUGUGCUACUUUUGCUGAUUUUGGUAUACAAAGAAAAGCAGUGUAGGCCCUUGGACUGUGAUAAUGUCACCCUAUUAGUAGCACUGGGAUUUGAGGAGGGGUAACACAUGUUUUCAAAAUCAUUGAGAUAAAAUCAGCAAGGCACUGUGGGACAAAUCCUGCAGUCCUUACUCUCACAAAGUCCGCACAGACUUCAGUGGGAACUUCGCCAGGUCUGCUGGAUUUAGCCUUGUGUUCUCCUGGAAGAACAGCAGCAGUUAAGGGGCCAGGAUCAGAUUUCAAAAAUACUAUAUUUAAAAAAGAAAUGCAUCUCUUUAGCUAAAAUUAUGGCCUCAAUCCUGCUUAAGCCAGUUUACCAUUGGAUGCUACUUAGUUUAUAAAGGCAUAUUUAGUAAGUUUUUCUCAGCCUGAAUAAUAAAAAUAGGCUAGUUGGUAUCAUUACUGGUAUCCCAGUUUAUAACCGAUUCUAAUUAAUGUCACUGUCAAGUUCCCAUUCACAAAUGCAGUGCAGUGGCUUUGGUCGUUUAUCUUUAUUACAGUUAAAAUCCACUGCCUUUCUUUUCUUCAUUUUAUUUUGAUGGGUAUAUUUUCAUUUGUGGUUAAAAAGAAUAAUGUAUUUCACCAUUUUCCAGGGUCCAUUGCUCAUAGGUUAGAGAAAAGUCUCAUUUUACAAAAAUGAGACUUUUGACUUGAAAGUGUCCCUUAAUAGAAUCCUGUUCUCAGAGCAAUGUAAAUGCAACGAUACUUUGCAGACAAAAGGUAAUGUUUUGUUUCAACAUUGCUGAAAAUACAGAACCUGUAUCUGCUAACUAGAAAAGGAGUGAUGUUUUAAUCCUAUAGCUGGAUCUGUGCAGACAAACCCUUCUGUUUAGACAGAGCCCUGUUUAAUUUAUCUGUCUUGAAUAAAAUUUAAUUUUUCACCAUUAAUCUUCUAAAAUGUAUUGUAAUUAUCCAAGUUUUCAAAAGGCUCUCGUUACCACAAUGAGCACUUCUGGGUUCCUUAUAAAAUGGAAUAAAGGAAUAUUUUCAUCCUGGCUCCACAAAUAGUUCUGCUGACUGCCAUGGACCAUAUUAAUACCAGGAAAGAAUUUGAUCCACAGGAGUAUGGAAAACAGGAUUUGGCCAAUUUGCAAAGAUAAAUUCUUCUUUAUCACACAUGCCUUUGAGUGGAAAGGAAAAUCUCCUUGGCAUUUAAGGACUAAUGAACUACAGAAGUAUGCAUAUAAUGAAAAUAAUAAAAAUAUACAAGAGUAUUAUACAAAAAAUUGCUCAAGGAAUUAUUUUGUUUUUGAAAUAUGCAAAUAAUGCACUAGGAUGGAUGAGCAGUCAGAGAAAGUAUCAGGUUAAAUGAGAUUUUAUACCAUUUAAAAUAUUUCUUCUAUUUAGGUAUUUUAAAAAUCUUUUUAGCAAGUUAAAGUCUAAGGCAGUGUCCCCACAUGUAGGCAGGUGCAAUUUGUGGCACCACAAGCUGCACAUGUGGAACAUUUAAAAUGUGCCCUGCACUGCAAAUUUUCAGCGCAGGGGCAAAAUUUGCUACCAGGAUUUCCUGGUAGCAAAAGCAAAAAAAAAAGGGAGGCAGGGGGGCAGGAGGAGAAGCGACGUGGCGUAUGCUGUAGUAGCAUGCACCAGAACAAAUGGAGGCUUGGUGCUUCAAGAGGAUGCUCUGGCUGCUGGCCAGACCCUCUCCACUCUUCCAUUUUUGCCCUGGCUGCUCCAGUCCGCCAGGAGGAGUUGGGCAAGGGCAGUUUGCCCAAAGUGGGACACAGUGUCUCACAACAAAGUGCACGGGCAGGGGCGUAUGCAGCAGCUACUAUUUGUACAUGCCUACACAUCUGGAUGCAGCUUAAGGUUAUAAAGUGUUAAAAUGCAAAAGCUUAUUUGAUUUACCCAUAUACUGUAAUUUGGACAGUAAAGCAGUGUUUAGGCAUUUCUUGGUUGUUGCAAGUGGAAACGUCAGGGACAUAAAUGAAGAAUCCCCAAAGUCAGGAAAGGCUGAUUAACUUGAGAUUUGAGAAGCUGAACAUUUCAUGAGAAUGAUGCACGUUGGAUACUGCUUAUCAACUGACACUUAAAUGGUGUUUCCCAAACGCAGAACUCUUCAACACUACUGCUUUCGAGGUCAUUUAAAUAUUACAGGUUAUUUGUAAAUCAUCAUAGUCACCUGGUUCAUCCAUGCUUCAUAGAGCUUGCCAUGUUUUUACUUUAUAAUUCAUGUUUAGAUCAUAAUGAUAAAAAUGAUGUAAUAUGAAUGGCUUUCCACUAAACAGAACAGGGCCGGAGCAGAGCUCAGUUGUUCACUCAUGACAAACUGAUGCAUGAAUAAUUUACAUUACUAUUAUAUCUUCCAUCCUGAAGGAUUCCUCUGCUUCAUCAGCAUACUAUGAGGGAUGAUUAAAUUGUUUGGAGACCUGUAUGAGCUAUUGUGAAAACCUUUGGCAACUCAUUUAGUAUCUUCAGGACAUUAAUGGAAAUGUGACAUUCAUUAAUUCACAAUGAUAAAUGACCAUGUCAAGAUUAAAGCUCACCAAAAGGACAGUUUUCACAACUUGUAACUGGAGCAACUUGAACUCCUCUGACGGGGAUGGAGUGUGGCACACUAAAUAAUGUCGUAUUAAGUUGCGUUUAAUGUUCCUUUCAUAUUUCUACCUUUAAUGCACCAUCGUCCGAUUCUGUGUUGAAUAUGUCAUGCUCUACAUCAGCUAAGGACUUUUCUUUUGUAGGUUGAUUUAAUUGAAUGAGCUGAAAGAUUCAUUACUGUGUAUUUAGGAUUUGUUUCUUGCAUUGGAACAAAGUUUCAUAACUAUUUUCCCAGUAUCAGUCACAAAAUGUGGUAACACUUCCCACUUCUUAGCCGAAAAAGAUACGCUUAUAUAUAUAUGGUGUUUUUAUAAAAGGUUUUAAAAUGUUUACAGCUCGCUCAACUUCAAAUUAAUGGAUUCUAAGUGUGGGGGGGAAUAUCCUAUAGUCCUUACCACUGUUGUCAAAGCUAUUUUCAGCCUUUAAAGGGAUUCACUUGCUAGUGACUUGGCAAUGUCAAACAAAUGUUCAACUUUUAUUCUGACACUUCUUGAAGAAUUUGAUUGAAACUAUAUAUGUCUAGAUAACAUCCAACAAAGUGCCCCUCUUGCGUUUGUUUCAAGAUAUUUUUGGAAACAACAGAGUCGACCUUGGACGGAGCUGCUUUUCCAAUUUAGGACUUCAGUUGGUCUAAGUGAACAGUUCUGUUCUUCAAGCAUAUUGUAUAGUCACAAGUAGCAAAAUGGUUUUGUUAAUAUAUGUUAUGGCAGAUUUGUUUUUCUGCAAUAUGUGCUCUGCUAAUGGCACUGUUCUGUUUAGGAAAAGAACAUUAUUAGAUAUUUAACAAUUUGCUCCUAUUUAUAAAUGGCUGGCUAGUGCACAUUUCCUUUUCAUCUGAAAAUCUUUGGGUAAUUUCAUUUACAUGAUGCUUGUUUAUUUAAUAUUUUAGUUUCUUUAAAACUAAUAUUAAGAAGUGGGAACUUUCCUUUGUCUCUGCUUACUGACAUAGAGUCUUGUUUUCCAGCCAGGGCUCUCACAGACUUGAUGUAAAGUCUAAAUGAGGACAGUGGUAAUGCUGGCAAAUGCUAUGUGAUGGGAUUGCCACCUGUCCAGAUCAUCGGAGAAAUAUUGCUUGUCAAGCUUCAAGUUUAAAAACCAAGGUUAAGUGCCAGGUCCUGUGUACAUCUAGUCGGGGGCAGAUCACUUUCUUUUCUGGCCUCAGUUUGCCAGUUUUGCAAUUGUGUCUGUAAAUCUUGAUUGAAUCCAAUCAAUUCAGAGAUUUAAGUGUUUUGCACUUAAUUUUAUAUCCGGUCAAUACAUUUUCAUUUAUUUGUUGGUGUCUUUGCAGCUGUAAUGCAGUCUGUUAUGAAGCAGAAUUACCUUACUGCAAUGAUAAUGCAGUUUCAUUGUUGUCAAUGUUAACAGAAAUGACAGAGUAUCAUUUAUCCUGUAGAAUAUUUAAUCUCUGCAAUCAUAAUUUUGUUUGCUUAAUUUAAUUGGCCAGUACAAGUUUAUAACCUGGAAACUAGAUCUAGCUGUGUUGCCAGAAUACACCUUGGCAGCGCAGUAACGAGCAUAGUUGGUAUAUGCAAAGAGAAAGGUAGUAUCUACUCACGUUUUUUAAAAGGAAACUAGACCCAACCUCCUUUUUUGCAGGCAUAGGUUUAUGACCACCUUACGUACUUACAGUGACUGGGGAAUCAAUUGUUGGCAUUUAAAAGUCUAAUUCUGGUUUGAAGGGAAAAAAUCAAGUACAUUACGGUUGUACAGAGAAACACUAGCAAAAAUUAAUAAGACCUGUAAGCUUGGCAGCUACUUUUAAAAAUAAAGUUGUUUCUAUGCAUAGCCCACUGCACAGGGCAGUACCUCUCGUAAUAGGAUUUCCAGGCGCUUUAGAAGUUUCCAUUAAUAAAGCCUUUCAACAAUCCUGUCAGAUAAUAAUCUCUAUUUAGCUAUCCAUAUUUUGUUCUAUUGUCUCUCUUAAUAGAUGGGUAAAUGCAGGGAUAUAAAGGUUAAAUAAUUUACCCAGCUCUGCAUGAUGAGCAACUUCUAGACUUCUUUUCUGAUCUCCACUUCAUCUGCCACUCCACAAAGAGGUGCCAGACCACCUAGGGGUGCCACAAGAUCCUUUGAAGGGUCCCCCACCAUGUAUGAAGAGAUAAGUAGGUAAGUGCAGGCUCAGGUUCUUCUCUCCCUGGCCAGUGUCCCACCUCUACUGCCCGGCCCCUCUGCAGUGAGGUAAGCACUGUAAUGAGUUAGUUUUUGAAAUGGGGUGCCACUUGCUUCACAAAAGUUAUGGAGGGGUGUCUUGAGAGUCUAAUGAGGGGUGCCUUGAGUCUAUCAAGGGUGCCUCAAAUCUGAAAAUGUUGAGAACCGCUAGAUUAAAUUGUAGCAUUUGUGGAAGGUUCUUUAAGGAUCCGAACCACCAGUAAUGACAAGUAUAUUGGAGGUCUUCAUUCAUUUUUAUGCCAGACUUAGGACAAGUUCCUUACAAAUUUAGCCAAUCCUUGUUCAUAACAACGUUCCUAAUGAAGUUUAAAAAAAAAUCCCUGCAGGCCGGAUUCUCACUUACACUUAAAGCGCUUAUACUUGCAGAUGGAGCGGUGCUCUAUGAGAAGGAGGAUCUCUGUCUAGGAGAGAGAAUUCUAAAAUUACAGCUCUCAUUUGUAAAAGAUGUGUUUAAUUUUAUGGGGCAGACCAUAUUCUUAAACUGUUUUAGUGGAUGUAUCAGCCUGGUGUAUAUGUCUAUUAGUCUAUUAAUGUUAAUUGGUAGCAUAGCUGAAGUGCACUAAUUAAGCAAGAGCAAAUAAAUGGUAACUACUUGCCUCUGCAGAGUCAACAGCAAGGUUUCCUUUUCCUAAAUCUUUCUUCCCUGCAUUUGACUACCGAGUGUAAUUCAGUAUUGUCUUCUAAAAUGAUAAAGGAGUGUGUCAGUGCAUGCCAAUGAAAACAAAAUAUUUACAUUUUUUUGGCUGAAAAACACACUUUUUUGCCAAAACCUGAAGAAGUUUGGUUUUUAAGCAAAAACCUUUUGUUUUGUUGAGCCUGCAGUGCCCAGAGUCAAUCUGCCAGCUGUGGAGUCUUCUGGAAAUAAAUCAUAAUUAGGGCUUUUUUUUCUAUUAGCCUUUCCAUCUGGCUGUCUUUCUCCCUAGGUAUCAUGGACCAUGUCCACAUGAGGUGUGCUGUACUGGUCUUGGAAAACUGGUAUACGCUACUAAUGCCAGUGCAGUGUUACUGGUAAACCUAAGCCAUGUGCCGGUAUACUAAACUUGUGUAGACUCCUGAACAAAAGAAACUAUACUGACAAAAUCGCAGUUCUGCUACAUCAGUCAGGGAUCACACCUCCUCUCAUCCUUGACUAUCAAAGCUAUGGAAAAAGAAGUCUGAAGUGUUGACAUAGCCGCAGUUUUUUAGCUGUUUCAUCUGAAUCGCUAACAUGAGAGGUUUUGAAGGCAAAUUGGAAAACUAACAACUUCUUUAUUAAGAAGCUACACAUAAACAAGGAUAACAUUGUUUUUAAAAUUCAUUUAAAAAGCCCCAUCCUCCUCCAGCCCUCCUCCCAUAAUAGCAUAUGGAGCGAUAGCAGACUCAACUCAUAAAACUUUUGUCCAGUGCCAGAAGCAUAAUAUUAGCAAAUUAAGAUUGGAAGAUUGCCUUUGAAGGGCAAAAAAUGAGUACCAACAUAUUGGCCUAUCCCAGCUCUCACAUGCUCUACUCCCAGCUGCUGUUAUCAGACAAGGCAUCAAGUAGACAGAUCUGAAGCAAGUUGAAAGCAUCUGAAAUUCCAAAACUCUGCAAGGGCUUUUUAUUUUCCAAAGAGCACCUUCCUCUCCAGCUCCAUGGUCUGUUCCUCGGACAGCGAAUAUGCUAAACCAAAAGACUAACCUGGAAAAUCUGUGUUUGUCCAAGAUUUUUCACUGAUGGUGUGUCUUAGGUUUGGUUCCUCUCUCAAGGUAAUGUCCUUGGCAACCCCCUGCCAGGUUCCCAACCAAAGAAAAAAGACUGUCCCGGAUCAUUUUAUUCCAGUUUUUAUACUUAGCCCAGUCCAUUCUGAGGCAGGCUUCAGAGGUUUAGUGAGCAGUCCCACUGAUGUCCGCACGAGCUGAUUUUAUGCUGGGUAUAGAAUCAGUUGUUAAGACAUUAUUUAAAUAUUGCAGUGCUCCUACUCACUCUGUAAAUGGGUGGAUCCUCCUUUCACUUCCAUUGUGUGUUUAAUUCAGUCAACAGUAACAUCUGUAUAAGCGAGAAGAAAAUUGGGCCCCAAAAUCAUCCAUGGUCAGAUCAGAUCAUCUACUCGUGACAUAAGCAGUAUUUAGUGUGGCCUUGGCCAGCCUCCUUCACCAAUACAUUUAAUUCUUAAAAGUAACAGAGAGAGGAAAAAAUCUAGAUGUGCAACAACAAUAAUACCAUUGUACCUCUGUUUUCCUUGGCAGUUAUCUAAUUCCCUUCUAUGUUAUCCAUUCGGGAAUCUGAUUAUGACCUAGUCAAACAGAAGAGCAAUGAUCUUAUUGCUUUAAUAACUGGGGAACAAUUUUAAUGCCUUUUAUUAUGCUUUGCAGGAAAAUUCAGGUCCUGCUUGAGUCAUUUUAAAGCUAUGCAAUUCUGUUUUCAUAUUGUUUCCUACUAAGCCAACAUUCAAGGGAAUUUCUUA